GACGAACGCUGGCGGCGUGCUUAACACAUGCAAGUCGAACGGAAAGGCCCCCAUCUUGGGGGGGGUGCUCGUGUGGCGAACGGGUGAGUAACACGUGGGUGAUCUGCUCUGUACUUCGGGAUAAUCUUGGGAAACUGGGUCAAACCCGGGAUAGGCCCAUGGUUCAGUGUCUCAUGGGGGAAGGAUUAUUGUUUUGGUGCAGGAUGAGCUCGCGGCCUCUCAGCUUGUGGGUGGGGUAUUGCCCUACCAAGGCGUGGUCGGGUAGCCGGCCUGGGGGGGUGCAGGGCCACAUUGGGACUGGGCUACGGCCCAGACGCCUACGGGAGGCAGCAGUGGGGGAUGUCGCACAAUGGGAGCAAGCCUGAUGCGGCGGCGCCGCGUGGGGGAUGACGGGCGUCGGGGUGUAAGCUCCUUUCGUUAGAGACGAAGCCGCACUUUUAUGGAGUGUGGUGACGGUACAUUGGUUAAGAAGCACCGGCUAACUACGUG
rnacentral:rRNA from 1 species